rnacentral:lncRNA from 1 species
AGUUUUGUCGAAGAGAGCCUCAAACUCAGGGGCAAGGAACUGAAAUAUCGACUUUAGAGCAUACGCCACAAAAUCCGACAUCUUCAGGUGACUAAACCUUUCAUCCCUUGGAACAUAUAUACUCAAGCUCUGAUACAGUGGUAUCCUACUUUCGCUAUUAGGAUCUGCCAAAACUUUAUAAUUAGAUUCUUCUGGUUUGUAUAAAACCUUAAAAAUCAUGUAAUAAGUUUUUCGGUAAGAAUCCUGUUUGUUACCUGAUGAAGCCAGAGGUCGACCUGUUCUUCCUCUACGAGGGUAUGGAUAUUCAGUCGAACCGCCUAGAAUAGACCGUACGUGCUUUGGACCCUUAUCUGGAUCACCUAAAUCAUUGUAGAUAUCAUAGUCGUAAACCCUAUCCCAUUCCUCAAGCUUUCCAGUUCCGUUUCCUCUCAGGUUCUGCAAUUCUUCCUCUCUGUAACGACGUAGCGGUGCAGGUGUUUGGUUGGGAAGAUAUGUCUGUGCAAUGAAGUCAUUAUAUUUCUUAAUAAACGGCAUUUCAUCGACCACUAAAAAUUAGCAGGCAUGAAACUGUCUUUUAUCACAUGUUUAAUUAUUCAUCACUAGAAAAUUUGAAGCUGUUUUCUAAACGACUUUUCGAGCCGUCCUUGAAUCUGUUAUGUAAGUAUUAUUAUUAUAUAUGCACUUUUAUCUACUUGUGUUGGUCUCGUUUUUUUUUUUUUUUUGUUUCUCGUGAAAAUUUAUCAAGGCACUGAAAUAUUACCUGAUUAGCAAAAAACACACGGUCGGUCUCGUAAUAUUGAGCAGGAUAAACCCAAGAGUUGCAGACGAAAUGUACUCGGCCAUGGCCAGGUACAUCUUCAAGAGUGAGUGUCUUGAGGUAGAACUCACUGUGGUGAAAAUUUGUUACCGUAAAUGCCCCUGGAACCCCCAUCUCCUUUGUCCACUCGAACGUGACGGUGUAUGUUGCAUCCCCUGCUGUCAAAGGGCCGAUUUUGGUAAUCCAGUCUUCCAGGUACGCUAUCUUCCCGGGUUUCCCUUUCAAAUUUUCUUCUGCAAAAAGCAAAACUGGAGUCUAUUAUUAUCUUGUAUUUUUAUGCAUUUGGGUAUACAAUGGUAAUCAUGACAUCUUAGCCGUUGGAUCGUCAGUUUCGAUGCACGAGACCGUACUAAUCCAACGGUUGAGACGUCCUUUGAUCAGGAUUUUAAGUUGAAUAAAAAAGGGGCCUGUAAAAUCGUAAUCGUAAAAUUGUAGGAUUUUACAUGUCUUGUAAUUUAUUUAGCAUGCCAUAUUUUGUUUAUCUUAAGGUCAAACACUAGGUAAAGUGAUUUAGAUUUUUGAUGAAAAAGUAGGGGAAAAAAAAAUAGACUAAAAGAUUUGAAGGUAGCUGGUAGUAAAAUCGUAAAAUCAUAGGAUUUCGGGAUUCUAAUCGGGAUUUUGACUAAUGAACUUUCAGCCAAUAAUAAGCGAAGACACGCACGCGCAUACAUACCAGAAUCAUGAUCGAGGGAAGAGGUGGUGAUGAGCUGGAAGGCCACCUUCCUUCCCA